GGGCCCGUAGCUCAGCAAGGAUAGAGUUCAAAAGCGUCUACAGCACCGGGCUUUUAACCCGGGGGUCUCGGGUUCAAUUCCCGACGGGCUCGCCA
rnacentral:tRNA from 1 species